GAAAGAACCACAAUGACAUCCUCUAUGUUCUUCAAUAUCCUAGAGUCUACAGGAAGCUAAGUAUUCAUAUAGAGAGGAACAAACUGGUAUUUAAUAUUUGUUCAUGAAGCACAGGUGAUCAUCACAUUAUUAUAAGCAGGAAUACAUGUUCUAAUGUUGUUCUAUAACAAAUGCAUUUAUAUCUCGUCUUCACUUGAUGGUUAUGUGUCCACCUAUUCAUUCAUGACCUGGCAGAAAAUUCACAAAAAAGGAUGAAGGAGAGGGUUGUAGAUAUGAGAGAAAUCAUAACUAAAAAAAAAUAAUAAUUGCAAAUCUAUUAUAUUGUUUGAACAAAAAUGUCAAAAUGUUAACAUACAGAACCAAAGCGACAGGCCAAACAUAGAACUGACAAUUUGUGUUUAGAAUAAGUUGUGUUGCUCUAGUUCGUAGCUGCUUUCAUUAUCACUUUAUAUAUUGUUGCUCUUUUGGCCAAGAAUAGUUUGUCCAUUCCCGUGAGCACAUUUGGCAAGUCUAGUAAAGCAUGUGACUAGGAAAUAGAUUGAGAUACAGAUACCUUGCUCCCUCAGAAAUUGUGAGUUGGAAUGCGACCGAUCUGUUCUAGAUGACGGUCUUAAGUUUUUUAUACUAUUCUGAAAUGAAACAAGUGAUUGCAAGCUUAUGGGGGAAAAGUUGUUCAUUUUAUUAAAAUUCAAAGUGCAGAAAAUUACUAUUAACAAUAAACAAAUAUCACCAUAUGGAAGUUUCUAAUUUGCUCUUAACCUGUCCUAGAGCAGGUACCAUUACCAACCCACCCAACCAACAACCAUG